AUAUUGCGAAGUUGUUUGCGGGUUUGCCGUUCGGGCGGGAUUGGGUUUCCUGGAAUAUAAUGAGUGAGAGGUUCGAUAUACUGAACCAAGCGAGUGUGGACCCUUAAGUACUGCGUUUCCCAUCUCCCGCGAGGGACUGGGCCAGGAACAAGGGGAGUGAGCGAGUGGAUGUUUGUAGAUAUUCCAGAAGAUGGGGGCGAAGGGCAGCAAGCCUUCGACUCCCAUGGGAAGGGUACCCACUGUACCUAAGAAUACCCCUCUGGCAUAUAUCUUAGACAAUUGGAGAAUAUUAAUAUUGUACUAAGAUAUGGGGAGGGAAGAAGAUUUCUAAAAAUGUCUUUUGGCCAGUCUAUGGGUCAGAAGAAGAUUGGGUAAGACAGCAAUUAAACCUCUGGGUUAAUAAUAAAAAACUCCUUAACCCGGAGGAGAGUCAAUAUGCGGAAGUGUGGCUAGAAAGACCGGGAGCUAGACUUUAUCCGCUGAAUGAAAUAAAAAACUAAACAAAAGAAAAAGAAGG